rnacentral:lncRNA from 1 species
UGAAAAACUGGCUCCACAAGUUCCUGGAAGCCUGGGCAGAGAUGGCAGGCAUGGGGAGGGCCAAGUAUCAGUCUCCUGUCCAUGUAGAACUUAAAGCUCAGGCCUCCCCCAUAGCAGUCUGGCAGUACCCUAUGCCCAAGGAAGCUUGAGAUGGGAUAAGACCUCAUAUCCAGUGCCUCCUCCAGAUGGACAUUCUGAGGAAGUGUUCAUCUGCUUGGAAUACUCCUCUCCUUCCUGUGUGAAAACCAGGGACUGAUGACUACCUUCCCAUUCAGGAUCUGAGAGGUCGGAGACUCAGUCUACGUGAGGCAGCAUCGAGCACAGACAUUUGAGCCUCACUGGAAAGGACCAUACCUAGUGCUGCUGACCACCCCAACAGCCGGCAAGGUGGAUGGAAUAGCUGCCUGGAUCUACGCAUCCCACGUGAAGACAGCUACCCUGGUAGCUUUCACUGAGGGUCUUUAUCACAGCAACAGAAAGCAAACUGGGAUGGCUGACUGGGUUUCAGGAAGAAGCCACAGGUCAAUGUUGGCAGACGUGUUGGAGCAGUAGGGCCAAGGAGACAGCAUCCUGUCUGAUCCUCCCGGAAAUCUGUUCCUCCCCCAACCCCCAUCCCCAACCAUGGACUCUGAGUACUAGAAGUUCAUAAAUCAACAGUGCCACCCCUUGUGAAGACCUGCGUCCCACUCUGUGUGCUAGCA